UUAAAAAGAAAUCAGUUAAGCCAUGCACUUUCAGGAGAGGCCAAGCGGGUGCCAAUCAAACUCCAAUCCGUCUCCCCUGCAGAUCAAUGCAACUGACAUUCUGCGCCGAUAAGAUGGAGAAGAGGUCGGAGAGUGACAGACAUUAGCUGACCUCUUCCUGAAGCAGCCAAUACAAUCACACAAGCACAGUCCCAUCAGCCAGAAUAACAAUCAGGGAUGUAGAGGUUGAUGGCCCCUCUGCAAUGAAGAUUUCUUUUACAAUAUCGGAGUAGCUGAUUCAGGCCUUAUCCAUUCUUGUCAUGAUCAAGACCACCUCAUCACCUCAACAUCUCAGCUUGUAGGAAUUGUAUAACGUAACAAACCGCAACUCCACACCUUUGGCUGCAUCCUUUUAUCAUCGAUCCAUCCAAAAAAAACUCACACAGAACAGGAAGUAAGAGACGAGACAUUCAGCAGCAGCUUGAGCUCUGCAGAGACAAAACUGCUCCGGGGGAUGUUCGAGAGACAUUCGGUGACUGGGGUACGACUUCGAGAACACGAUCGGG
ensembl:lncRNA